rnacentral:rRNA from 1 species
GCUUACGGCCACACCGGCCUGAGUACGCUGAUCCUCGUUUCCGAUCUCGGAAGCUAAGCAGGGUCGGGCCUGGUUAGUACUUGGAUGGGAGACCGCCUGGGAAUACCAGGUGCUGUAAGCU